rnacentral:rRNA from 1 species
CCUACGGGUGGCAGCAGUGAGGAAUAUUGGUCAAUGGACGCAAGUCUGAACCAGCCACGCCGCGUGAAGGAUGAAUGCUCUACGGGUUGUAAACUUCUUUUAUACAGGAAUAAAGUGAGGUACGUGUGCCUUUUUGCACGUACUUUAUGAAUAAGGAUCGGCUAACUACGUGCCAGCAGCCGCGGUAAUACGGAGGAUCCGAGCGUUAUCCGGAUUUAUUGGGUUUAAAGGGAGCGUAGACGGGUUGUUAAGUUAGUUGUGAAAGUCCGCGGCUCAACCGGAAAAUUGCAAUUGAUACUGGCAGUCUUGAGUACAGUUGAGGUAGGCGGAAUUCGUGGUGUAGCGGUGAAAUGCUUAGAUAUCACGAAGAACACCGAUUGCGAAGGCAGCUUACUAAGCUGCCACUGACGUUGAGGCUCGAAAGCGUGGGGAGCAAACAGGAUUAGAUACCCCUGUAGUC